UAACACGUAGGAGGCGAGCGUUAUCCGGAUUUACUGGGUGUAAAGCGCGUGCAGGCGGUUCAGAAAGUUGGAUGUGAAAGCUCCUGGCUUAACUGGGAGAGGUCGUUCAAUACUUCUGGACUCGAGAGUGGGAGAGGGAGGUGGAAUUCCGGGUGUAGUGGUGAAAUGCGUAGAUAUCCGGAGGAACACCAGUGGCGAAAGCGGCCUCCUGGCCCAUUUCUGACGCUCAGACGCGAAAGCUAGGGUAGCAAACGGG
rnacentral:rRNA from 1 species